rnacentral:rRNA from 1 species
ACCAGCCAAGUCGCGUGAAGGAAGAAGGAUCUAUGGUUCGUAAACUUCUUUUGCAGGGGAAUAAAGUGCAGGACGUGUCCUGUUUUGUAUGUACCCUGAGAAUAAGGAUCGGCUAACUCCGUGCCAGCAGCCGCGGUAAUA